rnacentral:lncRNA from 1 species
UCAUCCAAACCUCCCCCUUCAAUUUGAAAUAUAUCAGGUAUGAUAUUUUUUGCCCCUCCCUGAAUAUUGGCUACAAAUAGAUCCUUUGCUUUUUUUGCUAAACUCUUAAUUACCUCAUUUGAAAUGUGAAAAUAGUUAAGUAAUAAUGAGUGGAAAGAAAUAAGUGAAAUAUAUUUCUGAGAUAUUUUACAAAUGUGAUUACAGUCUCUAUUUAUAGACUGUUUUACAACCUAAUUAAAGAAAGAAAUAAUAGGCAAUGAAAGCCAGAAAUAAUGAGUGUUUAAAGCUGUACAAAUCAAAUCAAAUCACUAACAAAUCUGUCCUAAUAAAUAUAAAAUAGAAUCUGCACUUAAUUAUAACAUAAUUCUCCUGAUUAUGCAACACUCCCCCUCAAGUUGGUGAAUGUAUAUCUAUCAUUCCCAACUUGCAAGUAAGAUCUUCGAAUUGUUUUGCGGGAAGUCCCUUAGUAAACAUAUCUGCCAAUUGGAGUCUUGAAGGGAUGUACUCAGUGGCUAUAAGACCAUCAUCCAACUUUUCUUUAAUAAAGUGUCGGUCUAUCUCUACGUGCUUUGUUCGAUCAUGUUGAACCGGAUUGUGUGCAAUACUGAUAGCGGACUUAUUAUCACAUGCCAAACUCAUAGGAGCUUCAUAUUUUAUUUUUAGGUCAUCAAGUAUGAUCUUCAUCCAUAAGAGUUCACACACCCCUUGAGCCAUGGCUCUAAAUUCUGCCUCUGCACUUGAUCUUGCAACUACAUUUUGCUUCUUGCUCCUCCAUGUCACCAGAUUUCCACCCAAGAACAUGCAGUAGCCUGUGGUGGAUCUCCUAUCAACAAUCGAUCCUGCAUAGUCAGCAUCAGUAUAUACUUUCAUGGAUAAGUUUUCCCCCUUUUUGAAUAGCAAUCCUUUUCCUGGAGAGGCUUUUAAGUACUGAAUAAUUUUAUCUACUGCUUGCAAGUGUCUUUCUCUUGGAUCAUGCAUAAAUUGACUAACCACACUAACUGCAUAGGCUAUAUCUGGCCUAGUGUGUGAAAGAUAAAUGAGUUUUCCCAGUGAAGGUUACUCGUGGACGGGGCGGUUAGUCUGCAUCCNNNNNNNNNNNNNNNNNNNNNNNNNNNNNNNNNNNNNNNNNNNNNNNNNNNNNNNNNNNNNNNNNNNNNNNNNNNNNNNNNNNNNNNNNNNNNNNNNNNNAAUGGGAAGGGAAAAAUACCACUGUACAAUUUAAAUCUUGGGUAAUCUUUUGAAUAGACAAGAGGUUAUUGGAUAGUUUGGGAACAUGAAGCACAUUUUUUAAAGGAAAUGAAGGUUGAAGGUGAAUGUUACCACGACCAUUAAUGGGGGUAGUGGAACCAUUAGCAAUAGUAAUAUAUGGCUUACCGGAUAAAGUAGUGUAGGAUGAAAAAGAAGAGGAAUGAGGUGUCAUAUGAUCAGUAGCACCAGAGUCUAUAAUCCAGAUAUUUUCAGUACUAGAAGCAUUAAAGGAUAAAAAACUAGAACUCUUACCACUCAUAGUAAAGGAACAAUAGCUAGAUGGCUUACUAAGGGAGUCCAUGAGAGUUCAAAACCAACUGAGUUUUUCAGAUUGGCAAAAUUUGAUCCUGUUCACACACACAGGAAAAAAAAAUCUGCCGGAAAAAUUUUCCGGUGGCGGUUUCAGGCGGCCAGCGGCGGUUUCCGGCGAGCAGUGGCAGUUCCGGCGAGCGGUGCAGUUUCCGGCGAGCGACGGCAGUGGUGGUCGUCAAUGGUGCAAGGUGGUGGUGGUGGUCAAUGGAGAAAGGAUAAGGAAAAUAGAAAGUUGCAGCAAUGAAGGCUGUCCAACAAAUAAUUGCAGCAAUGAAGGCUGUCAAGGAAAAUGAUUACAGCAAUGAAGGCUAAAAAAAAAUUUGCGGAAGCAGAGUCUCCUAGAUCAGGAGCUCUGAUACCAAGUGGAAAGAAAUAAGUGAAAUAUAUUUCUGAGAUAUUUUACAAAUGUGAUUACAGUCUCUAUUUAUAGACUGUUUUACAACCUAAUUAAAGAAAGAAAUAAUAGGCAAUGAAAGCCAGAAAUAAUGAGUGUUUAAAGCUGUACAAAUCAAAUCAAAUCACUAACAAAUCUGUCCUAAUAAAUAUAAAAUAGAAUCUGCACUUAAUUAUAACAUAAUUCUCCUGAUUAUGCAACAUAAUGUUUUGUGAUUAGAGCAAAAUUCUUCAUCAUUAUACUCAUCAAAAUAACGGGAUCCUAAUAUAAUUCCGUACCUUUGCAAUGUUUGGGGGACACUGAAGGUGUUAAAGAAUUCAAUAUUGUCUUCACUGUUAGCAUCCCAUUCUC